UUGGUGCUUCAAGGCAGUGGGAAUGUGUUCGUUGCUCGGAUCCUCUAGCGUUUGAGUCUCCUUUGCUGUCCCGAGGCUUUGUUUUCUUGCGAUGUGGCUCUUUCUUCUCCUUGGGUCGCAUUGGGAGGAUUGCCAAUUUCGUUUCUGGUAUGCCCUUCGGUUGGUGUCCGGCGACCGAGAUAGCUUUAGCUUCCCAGCUCUUCUUUGCUGCUCGAUUAUGUUUUUUCUCCUCUCUAGCUUUGUUGCCGUUGCUAUAUAAGUUUUGUUAUUUUUUCGUGCCUCCUUAUUCGAGUAACUUCUGACAUUGGUGAGUACUCUGUUUGCUGCAUUGCUUUGGCUACUUUAGGGCAAGGUUGUCAAUUUCGUUCCGUUCCGUCCGGAAUGGCCGAAACAUUCCAUACCAAUUCAAAAAACGAAACAAAACGGAACAAAUUCCAUCUCAUUUUAAAUCUCGGCCCGUUCCGGAAAUUCCGGCCAAAUUCCGGCCGAAACGUUCCGGUUUCAUUCCGGUUGUUCCGUUUCGGCCAAAAAAUAUUAUUUUUAAAAAAUUAAUAUAUGGUUUAUAUUAUUUUAAGUUAAAGAUUUAUUUAAUCUUUACUAUUUAAAAAUAUUUCAAAUUUUAAAAUUAUAUUUGUUUGGCAUUAUGUUUGUAUUGCAUAAUUUAUAAUUAAUUUAUCUUGAAUUUGAAUUAUGUUUGUGGAAUAUAUAUAUAUAUAUAUAUAUAUAUAUAUAUAUAUAUAUAUGAACAGUACAACCCCGAAACGGCACGUCGAAACAAUCCGAAACCGAAACAUUUCGUUCCAAUUGAAAAAACGAAACACCUACCGAAACGGAAUUGACAACCUUGCUUUAGGGUGCUUUGGAUCUGGUUUUUUGUUUUUCCUCAGCUCUUUUCCCUUAUUUAUUCCCCUUUCCAUUGGACUGUCGGCUCCAUAGCUAGAUGUUCUUGCAGCUCUACUUCCACUUUUUUUUCCAAAGUAUUUAGUUCCAUUUUCUUCAAUAUAUAUAUGACUGUUCACAGCUAGGUACUCUAAAAUGGACUCCAGCUAGAACAUUCUAAUGGGUUGUCCUUUCAGUUUUUUAGACGAGGAAAUCUUUACCAACAAUUCACAAUUGAAAGCUCUAAUUAGGUGGUGCAUUCUGCCUUAAUUAGCAAGGUUAUCUCUUUUAGUUAGAGGACUGCGUGGGUCAAAAAGAAUCUAUUUUCCCUGUAAUUUACUUUACCGAUUCAGUUGUUGAAGAUCAUCAUCACAUGUGAUGCUGAAGGGAUUCCUUCAAUGCGUGCGAAAAACGUUGUGUAUAAAGAUGUGCUUUCCUAUGAAUUGGAUGUGAAUUCCUUCGAUAUGAAGAUCAUUGCUA
rnacentral:lncRNA from 1 species